UGUAGGGUGGUGUAUUAGCGCAUUUGGAGUUUUGGUCUCCGAGGAGGAAGUUUAGCUGCUUUUCCCUGCAG